GGACGAACGCUGGCGGCGUGCCUAACACAUGCAAGUCGAGCGAGGAGAUCCUCGGGAUGAUCCUAGCGGCGGACGGGUGAGUAACACGUGGGCAACCUGCCUCAUAGAGAGGAAUAGCCUUCCGAAAGGGAGAUUAAUACCUCAUAACAUUGCAGUUUCGCAUGAAACAGCAAUUAAAGGAGCAAUCCGCUAUGAGAUGGGCCCGUGGCGCAUUAGCUAGUUGGUGAGGUAACGGCUCACCAAGGCGACGAUGCGUAGCCGACCUGAGAGGGUGAUCGGCCACAUUGGGACUGAGACACGGCCCAGACUCCUACGGGAGGCAGCAGUGGGGAAUAUUGCACAAUGGGGGAAACCCUGAUGCAGCCAACGCCGCGUGAGUGAUGACGGCCUUCGGGUUGUAAAGCUCUGUCUUCAGGGACGAUAAUGACGGUACCUGAGGAGGAAGCCACGGCUAACUACGUGCCAGCAGCAGC
rnacentral:rRNA from 1 species